UACGUAGGUGACAAGCGUUGUCCGGAUUUAUUGGGCGUAAAGCGAGCGCAGGCGGUCUUUUAAGUCUGAUGUGAAAGCCCACGGCUCAACCGUGGAUGGUCAUUGGAAACUGGAGGACUUGAAUGCAGAAGAGGUAAGUGGAAUUCCAUGUGUAGCGGUGAAAUGCGUAGAUAUAUGGAGGAACACCAGUGGCGAAGGCGACUUACUGGUCUGUUAUUGACGCUGAGGCUCGAAAGCGUGGGGAGCGAACAGG
rnacentral:rRNA from 1 species